GACGAACCGUGCGAACGUUGUUCGGAAUCACUGGGCUUAAAGGGCGCGUAGGCGGCUCACCAAGUCCGGGGUGAAAGCCCCCAGCUCAACUGGGGAAGUGCCUUGGAUACUGGUGGGCUCGAGGGGGAUAGGGGCGGACGGAACUUCCGGUGGAGCGGUGAAAUGCGUUGAUAUCGGAAGGAACGCCGGUGGCGAAAGCGGUCCGCUGGGUCCCUACUGACGCUGAGGCGCGAAAGCCAGGGGAGCAAACGGGAUUAGAAACCCCAGUAGUCC
rnacentral:rRNA from 1 species